rnacentral:sRNA from 1 species
CAAAGUAGAGACGGACUUCAUUUGAGUUUCGAGGGAACUGAAUUGUUGGCCAGUAAAAUUGAGGAUGCGAUGGAAUCAGUGCAUGCCGAGUCUUCCUCGGUGGAUUUACGAACAUCUGAAUAUCGCAGUAAUUACACUGUCGGUCAGUACGGAAGCGAAAGUGAGUAAACUACUGGUAACAACGUUGAAUUCAGCACAAUCAGAAUGGACUGUGAGUCGUUCGUYACGCCGUCGUUCUGUCGGUCGAUCAUCAUCGGGUCCGACUUCAUCUGCUUGGAAACAUCUUUAGAAAACCAGAAACUAUACAUGAGAUCUGCCGUCAGCACCACCAUCAAGUCUAGAGAUCUGCCGUCAGCACCACCAUCAGGUCCAGAGAUCUGCNCCGUCAGCACCACCAUCAGGUCCAGAGAUCUGCUGUCAGCACCACGAUCUGGUCCAGAGAUCUGCCGUCAGCACCACCAUCAGGUCCAGAGAUCUGUCGUCAGCACCACCAUCAGGUACAGCUUGCAGACGAAAAAGGAGACCAUAAGCUUGUCAUCAUACGACCCCAAGCUUAUCACCAUCUGUCAGUCAACAGUCACGUCAGUCAUCCAGUAGACCUCCAGCUCGUACUUGUAUGAUGUGCUAUAGUGAUGUACAGUACAACCUAUCUAGAGCAACACCAGUUGGGAACCACAAAGUUUGGUUGCUGUACAGAGGCUGUUGCUCUGCAGAGGUAAAAUGUAUAGACAAUGGUUACUUUGGGAAACAAAUGAUGUUGCUUGAGAGAGAUUGUUGCUGUGUGGAGGGCCGCUCUGGAGAGGUUACACUGUAGUGUUAUUGGUGGAAUCUGAUAGGCAGUUUUCACUGAGUACAGAUAUUGUGAGACUUGUUGAAGAUGGUUCAGAUAGUGAUAUUCACUAUCCAUCAUUGCCUUAUAAAUGUAGUUCAAGAUUACAACGAACAUAUACUACUCAGU